UUAGCUGCUGCUUUGGGAAAUCUUGUGUCAGAUCUAGCUGGACUUGGACUUGCAGGCUAUGUUGAAGCAUUGGCUUCCAGGUUAGGCCUGUCAAUUCCUGAUCUCACACCAAAGCAAGUUGACAUGUGGCAAACACGUCUUAGUACACAUUUGGGCAAAGCUGUUGGGGUGACUAUUGGCUGCAUUCUAGGAAUGUUUCCUUUAAUUUUCUUUGGAGGAGGUGAAGAAGAUGAAAAACUGGAAACGAAAAGUUAAUCCUCUUAGAAUACCUAUAAAAAGAUGUAAACUAAUGUACCUCAGUAAUUAAAUAUGCUGUCACAACAUUUAGGAAUUAAGACAGUAACAGUAUAGAUAUGGGAUCAAAUAAUUUAGCAUGUAUUAUGGAAAACACUAACUUAUUGUGGCUUGAUCUUCUUAGGACAUCUUUUUUAAAAAGCUGUUUAGUAUCAUUUUGUGUAAAUUGUUGAAAUGCUUUUUCAUCAAUAGCAGUCAACAUUUUAUCCUUUCUUUUUAUAUUCAUAAUGUUAUUUAAGUGUCAUUGAUGUACUGUAUUGACUUGGGGUUUGCUUAUUUGUUACUUAACAUGUGUACAUGCAUGAAAGCAUUUUUCGUUGUUCCCUGAUAGUUACAUUUCAACCUUGGGAUUUUUCCGAAUUACUUAAGAUGUUUAAUGUCAGUUAAAGAUUUUUUUACCCUCUUUUUGGGAACAUCAAUUUUGUACUGUUAUGCAGUAAACAUUUAUAAUAAUAUAAUUUCAGUCAUUUUCUUAACUCUCACAUCUAUUGAAAAUGGAUAUAGAUACAGGUUUUAAGUAUUUUAAGUAUAUAUUACUUAUUUUAAUUUUCUGACUUUACUAUUUUAAGGGCCAGAGGGUUAAUCACAAAGAGCAAUUAUGUGGUCUCCCUGCUACAUGAAACCGUGUAUACUAACAAGCGUACAAUUUUUAGUUGAUUUUUUUUAACCUUUUAGUUUCCCAGUUUUGAAUAAUUACAUGGUGGAUUCUGACUUUUGAGGGGAAGCAAAUGAUUAUUUUAGAGUCUUUGAAAUGGGGAUUGUGGAAUUAGAUUGAACUAAGGGAUUUAACAUGAUGCUUGGAAAUUAAGAGACUAAAGCUUUUUUUAAAAAAAGGUAGAAAAUAGGAACUGUCAAGAAGGUUUAUGGUAUAAAUGAUGAAGUUGAAGUGAUGUUUGAAAGAUUAAUGAGAUACAAUUUAUAUUAUUUGGUAAGGUUUUUUUUUUCCCCCUCCAAAGAUGUCAUCUUCUCAUCUGAAUGGAAUAAGUCUGAAUACCCCAUAUUCAUACUCCUAAUCUCAUUAUAUCUUAUUUAGUGAAUUUUAUUUAUGAAUAAUUUCUGUUGAAGUGAAAACUAGAUAUUUAAUAUUUUGCUUUUUUGCUACAUAGUCUACUCAAAAAUUACAUGAGGAGAAAUCCUUUUUCCCUUUGUUUUUCUUUUUUCUUCUUUUGUGGUAUUUAAAGCAUAUUUUAGGUUGAAGUUACUUAUUUCUAGUCUUGUACUUCUGGCUUAAGUAUAACCAUGUAAGAAUUAUAAAUUUUAGUUUUCUGAACCCUUAAACUUUUUUAGCAUGUGGUCUGUUACACAUGCUAAAAAAUUAGUCUUACUUGUAACAGCGUAAUUAAACACAUCAUGGAGGAGAGAAACUUAAAAUUAAAAUAAUAUUUUGGCUUUUGAAGUUAUUUGUGUUGCUAAAUAGAUGCAGAGGUUUUACAGCAGUUUAUUUUAAGGUUUUAUUUAUACAUAAUUACUUUGAACUCUUCAGAGUAGAUAUUUUUUCACAAGGCAGUUUGUCAUAAAUUCUCUCAUGCGCUUCAGAAUGAAUAAGUGCCAUCGUUUAAUCAUAGACUUUGAGGAGAGAAAGCAUAAAAAUAUAGCAUAUAAUCUAAAAAUAAAUAUAUAACAUGCACAAAUAAUGUGACAUUCUUACUGAAUCAAAUCAUGAUUCUAGAACUUGAGAUCUUAAAUAGAAUUUCGGUUUGUAUCUUCCAUAUAAUAACCACACACAGAUAACCACACAAAAAAUCCUUUGUAAAAUUUCUGAUUGAUAGGAUUAGAGUGCUAAAUUUUUUGGGGGGGAAGGGUGGGGUAAAGUGUAAGUGCUUUCUUUUGUCCCUAACUUGUGUAUUGAUGGCAGUCCAUUCUGUUUUCUAAAAAUGUAUUUUACUGUGGUGCUUAACUUCUUAUUAAUUAAAUCCCGUAUCAGAAACCUUGCCUGUGACUUUAGAAAGGGCUUUUGAUUAUUGUUUUUUCUUCUUGCUCUUGAAAGUAAUCCAGUCCCAGGGAAUUACUGGUUUAACUGAACAUCUCCAGAAUUAUUUAAGGUGUCAAAAUAUAUAACCUUCACAUUGAAAGAUAAUUUUAAUUUAUGGGCAUAAUAAAAAUUUGAAUCAUUCAGGUAAUUUUCAAAAAAUGGAGACCAUUUGUCUUUAACUGAAGGUAUAUGUUUAAGAUCAUAGUCUACCCUAGUAUGGUGCUUUGCACAAAAUGAUUUCUGAAGAAUGGUUCUUUUUAAGAUAAUGACUUCAUAUGAUCAUUGUUUCAUGUUACUACUUGCCACAAAUAACUUUAAUUUAGGUUGAAACUGGAACUGUUUGUUUCUCAUAUUAGCUACUUCUCUAUUAGGAGCACAAGAACCAUAGUUAAAUGCAACAUGAGCUACUUUAGUACUGUUUGUUUAAAUUUGUGUUGUCCAUGUAUUAUGAUUUAUUAACUUGUUGAUGCAUGUAAAUUGGGUGCAUUUUGUUGCCAUGUAUGUUAAAUGGUGACCAAUGUUUUUACAAAGGAAUUGAACAAAAAAAGUAUCUUUUAAGAAAUUUGGAAUGUGGUUUUGAUUUUGAAAUUUGAUUUCUUACUAAUCUCAGAGAGCCUUGGUAUAUUCUGUUACUAAAGCAAACAGGAUUAAUGAAUACGGAUUUGUUACAAGGUGGCAGCAAUGUCACUGAGAUAGUGAAUGGAAUAAUUUACCACCUCCCUGGAAUCUGCACCUGAGAUACAACAUCAGCGUAUGAGUGAAGAGUGAGCCCAUAGAAAAGCUUUAGAUAGACUCACAUAAGUCACACUGAUGGGUAUUUACAGCAGAGAUAUCCA
rnacentral:lncRNA from 1 species